rnacentral:rRNA from 1 species
GAUGAACGCUAGCGGCAGGCUUAAUACAUGCAAGUCGAGGGGCAGCACGAAUAGCAAUAUUUGGUGGCGACCGGCGCACGGGUGCGUAACACGUAUACAACCUACCUAUAACAGGGGGAUAGCCUUUCGAAAGAGAGAUUAAUACCCCGUAAUAAAUUGAGUGGCAUCACUUGAUUUUGAAAGCUACGGCGGUUAUAGAUGGGUAUGCGUCUGAUUAGCUAGUUGGUGAGGUAACGGCUCACCAAGGCGACGAUCAGUAGGGGAUCUGAGAGGACUAACCCCCANACUGGUACUGAGACACGGACCAGACUCCUACGGGAGCAGCAGUAAGGAAUAUUGGUCAAUGGAGGCAACUCUGAACCCAGCCAUGCCGCGUGCAGGAUGACGGCCCUAUGGGUUGUAAACUGCUUUUGUACCAGAGAAAACCUACUCACGUGUGAGUAGCUGAUAGUAUGGUAAGAAUAAGCAUCGGCUAACUUCGUGCCAGCAG